rnacentral:rRNA from 1 species
CACGUGGGUAACCUGCCUGUAAGACUGGGAUAACUCCGGGAAACCGGGGCUAAUACCGGAUGCUUGAUUGAACCGCAUGGUUCAAUCAUAAAAGGUGGCUUUUAGCUACCACUUACAGAUGGACCCGCGGCGCAUUAGCUAGUUGGUGAGGUAACGGCUCACCAAGGCGACGAUGCGUAGCCGACCUGAGAGGGUGAUCGGCCACACUGGGACUGAGACACGGCCCAGACUCCUACGGGAGGCAGCAGUAGGGAAUCUUCCGCAAUGGACGAAAGUCUGACGGAGCAACGCCGCGUGAGUGAUGAAGGUUUUCGGAUCGUAAAACUCUGUUGUUAGGGAAGAACAAGUACCGUUCGAAUAGGGCGGCACCUUGACGGUACCUAACCAGAAAGCCACGGCUAACUACGUGCCAGCAGCCGCGGUAAUACGUAGGUGGCAAGCGUUGUCCGGAAUUAUUGGGCGUAAAGCGCGCGCAGGCGGUUUCUUAAGUCUGAUGUGAAAGCCCCCGGCUCAACCGGGGAGGGUCAUUGGAAACUGGGGAACUUGAGUGC